CUACGGGAGGCAGCAGUGGGGAAUCUUGCACAAUGGGGGCAACCCUGAUGCAGCGACGCCGCGUGAGUGAUGAAGCCCUUCGGGGUGUAAAGCUCUUUCGACAGGAACGAUUAUGACGGUACCUGGAGAAGAAGCUGCGGCUAACUACGUGCCAGCAGCCGCGGUAAUACGUAGGCAGCAAACGUUGUUCGGAAUUACUGGGCGUAAAGAGUGUGUAGGCGGUUUUGUAAGUUUGGUGUGAAAUCUCCCGGCUUAACUGGGAGGGUGCGCCGAAAACUGCAAGGCUUGAGUGCUGGAGAGGAGAGCGGAAUUCCUGGUGUAGCGGUGAAAUGCGUAGAUAUCAGGAGGAACACCGGCGGUGUAGACGGCUCUCUGGACAGUAACUGACGCUGAGACACGAAAGCGUGGGGAGCAAACAGGAUUAGAAACCCCAGUAGUCC
rnacentral:rRNA from 1 species